GACCGAGACGAACAGGAGGACAAGGGGGCAGCAGUUGGGGCUGGACGUGUGGCAAAGUGCCCAGCGGCCGUUGGGAGAGCGAGUGGGAGGUGGGAGAGCGAGUGGGAGGUGGGAGAGCGUGUGAGAGUGUGAGCAAGGUUAAAGGAGCAGCAGGUGGCCUGAGCCUUGGCUUGCAUCGUUUCAGGUCACUCUGAGACAGAGGCCACCUGGUGAUCACUGAAAGUUGCCUUUCACCUUCCUUGGGGAGUGCAAGUGGAAACAAUAGGUGAAGGAAACAUCUAGAAUUUACUGGUGGAGCUGACCUCCUGCCUGGUAACCGCAGCUCCUCCUGCUGGUGGUCCGCCACCCAGCUGACAAACAGAUUCCAGCUACAGUUCAGGCACCCAUUUUCCUGA